rnacentral:rRNA from 1 species
AUUGAACGCUGGCGGCAGGCCUAACACAUGCAAGUCGAACGAGUGGCGGACGGGUGAGUAAUGUCUGGGAAACUGCCUGAUGGAGGGGGAUAACUACUGGAAACGGUAGCUAAUACCGCAUACCAUCGGAUGUGCCCAGAUGGGAUUAGCUAGUAGGUGGGGUAACGGCUCACCUAGGCGACGAUCCCUAGCUGGUCUGAGAGGAGUCACAGCCACACUGGAACUGAGACCGGGUCCAGACUCCUACGGGAGGCAGCAGUGGGGAAUAUUGGACAAUGGGCGCAAGCCUGAUGCAGCCAUGCCGCGUGUAUGAAGAAGGCUUUCGGGUUGUAAAGUACUUUCAUCGGGGAGGCGUUACCCGCAGAAGAAGCACCGGCUAACUCCGUGCCAGCAGCCGCGGUAAUUC